rnacentral:rRNA from 1 species
AUUGAACGCUGGCGGCAGGCCUAACACAUGCAAGUCGAGCGGUAGAGAGAAGCUUGCUUCUCUUGAGAGCGGCGGACGGGUGAGUAAUGCCUAGGAAUCUGCCUGGUAGUGGGGGAUAACGUUCGGAAACGGACGCUAAUACCGCAUACGUCCUACGGGAGAAAGCAGGGGACCUUCGGGCCUUGCGCUAUCAGAUGAGCCUAGGUCGGAUUAGCUAGUUGGUGGGGUAAUGGCUCACCAAGGCGACGAUCCGUAACUGGUCUGAGAGGAUGAUCAGUCACACUGGAACUGAGACACGGUCCAGACUCCUACGGGAGGCAGCAGUGGGGAAUAUUGGACAAUGGGCGAAAGCCUGAUCCAGCCAUGCCGCGUGUGUGAAGAAGGUCUUCGGAUUGUAAAGCACUUUAAGUUGGGAGGAAGGGCAGUAAAUUAAUACUUUGCUGUUUUGACGUUACCGACAGAAUAAGCACCGGCUAACUCUGUGCCAGCAGCCGCCGCAG